GUUUUUAUAGUUUAAAAUAAAACUUUGAUUUUGUAAAUCAAGAUUAAGAAUCUCUUUAAAAACU
rnacentral:tRNA from 1 species